rnacentral:tRNA from 1 species
AGUGGCUCAGUAGUAGAGUGCUUGCCUUGCAUGCAUGAGGCCCUAGGUUCGAUUCCUCAGCACUA